GACGAACGCUGGCGGCGUGCUUAACACAUGCAAGUCGAGCGGAAAGGCCCUUCGGGGUACUCGAGCGGCGAACGGGUGAGUAACACGUGAGUAAUCUGCCCUUCACUCUGGGAUAGCCACCGGAAACGGUGAUUAAUACCGGAUACGACCACCGUGGGCAUCCACUGGUGGUGGAAACUUUUUUGGGUGGGGGAUGUGCUCGCGGCCUAUCAGCUUGUUGGUGGGGUAAUGGCCUACCAAGGCUUCGACGGGUAGCCGGCCUGAGAGGGUGACCGGCCAGACUGGGACUGGGACACGGCCCAGACUCCUGCGGGAGGCAGCAGUGGGGAAUAUUGGACAAUGGGCGGAAGCCUGAUCCAGCAACGCCGCGUGAGGGAUGACGGCCUUCGGGUUGUAAACCUCUUUCAGCACCGACGAAGCGCAAGUGACGGUAGGUGCAGAAGAAGGACCGGCCAACUACGUGCCAGCCGCCGCCGUAAGAC
rnacentral:rRNA from 1 species